rnacentral:rRNA from 1 species
UACGUAGGGGCGAGCGUUGUCCGGAUUUAUUGGGCGUAAAGAGCGUGUAGGCGGCCAGGUAGGUCUGCUGUGAAACUCGAGGCUCAACCUCGAGACGUCGGCGGAAACCAUCUGGCUAGAGUCCGGAAGAGGAGAGUGGAAUUCCUGGUGUAGCGGUGAAAUGCGCAGAUAUCAGGAAGAACACCCGUGGCGAAGGCGGCUCUCUGGGACGGUACUGACGCUGAGACGCGAAAGCGUGGGGAGCGAACAGG